UAACCUUGUCGAUUGACGUUACCCGCAGAAGAAGCACCGGCUAACUCCGUGCCAGCAGCCGCGGUAAUACGGAGGUGCAAGCGUUAAUCGGAAUUACUGGGCGUAAAGCGCACGCAGGCGGUCUGUCAAGUCGGAUGUGAAAUCCCCGGGCUCAACCUGGGAACUGCAUUCGAAACUGGCAGGCUAGAGUCUUGUAGAGGGGGGUAGAAUUCCAGGUGUAGCGGUGAAAUGCGUAGAGAUCUGGAGGAAUACCGGUGGCGAAGGCGGCCCCCUGGACAAAGACUGACGCUCAGGUGCGAAAGCGUGGGGAGCAAACAGGAUUAGAUACCCCUGGUAGUCCACGCCGUAAACUAUGAGAGCUAGCCGUCGGGCAGUAUACUGUUCGGUGGCGCAGCAAACGCAUUAAGCUCUCCGCCUGGGGAGUACGGUCGCAAGAAUUA
rnacentral:rRNA from 1 species